UGAAACUAUACAACGCUAACACGUUAACAGGUUUCUAGAAAAUUUGUCUUCAUCAACUUAAAUCUGGAUGCAAAUUACAAAAGGAAAGAAUUAUGAUCUGAUUAGCAAAUGUUGCACCGAAAAUGCAUAGAAAAUCGAAAAACUGAAACAGCAAGAAACAAUGAAGAAAGUAGGUAUAAUCUCAGGAAACGUGGAAAAGAAAAAUGACAAAGCGAGCCUAACAG
rnacentral:misc_RNA from 1 species